rnacentral:ncRNA from 1 species
GCUGAUGCUUUAUCAUAGAUUACAGGGAAAGCCUGGGCGGUAGUGGCGCUUAUGAAGCGUUAUUACCGUUUACAUA